GAUGAACGCUGGCGGCGUGCUUAACACAUGCAAGUCGAACGGUGAAGGAGAGCUUGCUCUCUGGAUCAGUGGCGAACGGGUGAGUAGCACGUGAGCAAUCUGCCCCUGACUCUGGGAUAAGCGCUGGAAACGACGUCUAAUACCGGAUACGAGCUGCGAAGGCAUCUGCAGCAGUUGGUAAGAAUUUCGGUCAGGGAUGAGCUCGCGGCCUAUCAGCUAGUUGGUGAGGUAACGGCUCACCAAGGCGUCGACGGGUAGCCGGCCUGAGAGGGUGACCGGCCACACUGGGACUGAGACACGGCCCAGACUCCUACGGGAGGCAGCAGUGGGGAAUACUGCACAAUGGGCGCAAGCAUGAUGCAGCAACGCCGCGUGAGGGACGACGGCCUUCGGGUUGUAAACCUCUUUUAGCAGGGAAGAAGCGAAAGUGACGGUACCUGCAGAAAGAGCACCGGCUAACUACGUGCCAGCAGCCGCAGUAAGAC
rnacentral:rRNA from 1 species